rnacentral:lncRNA from 1 species
UUUUUUUACUUUAAAAAAAAUAUUAAAUUUCAAGUACUAAGUUUAAAAAUGUUUUCGGCUGAUAUUUUUCAUUUUAAAUUAUUUAUUAAAGUUGGAGUCAUUGUAUGUGGCGAUCUAUUUUUUACAGUCUAUGCUCGCUAUCCCAAGGUUCAUUGCGAUCCCAAGGUUCACUGCGGUUUUCCACAAGCCUGUUUCUGCCUAUCACCAUGAGUGAUUCCUCAAUACUCAGAUUUAUCAUCAAGAUCUCAAUUAUAAGCUCAAGUUUUGAUGACAACUUGGUGAUCUGCAGAAAGCCCCACCAUGUAAGGAAGGCCAAGACCACUCUGGAAUCAGUCAAGGGUGAAAUGGAGUGAGGCAUACCAGGAUAUGCCUGGUUUUACUUUUGGGAAGGAGGUUGAACAGUGCAAUAUUUCUUCUAUAGGAUUGCAGUGACCAGACAUGCUACUGUAACUCUCAUGGUCAUGUGCUGGAAUUAGCAGAUAUUCAACAAUUUGGCCAUCUCGCUGACCUGUUGAUAUCAGAAGACCGCAACAGCUCUACAAAGCAAGUUGCAAAACAGAAUCCAUGAAACUGGCAGUGACUGGAAACCAAUUGGAAGACUUUGGUCU